AACGCUAGCUACAGGCUUAACACAUGCAAGUCGAGGGGCAGCAUUAGGUAGCAAUACUGAGAUGGCGACCGGCGCACGGGUGCGUAACGCGUAUCCAACUUUCCCGCUACUCUGGGAUAGCCUUCCGAAAGGGAGAUUAAUACCGGAUGGUGUUGAAAUUUCGCAUGUUAUUUCAACUAAAGAUUUAUCGGUAACGGAUAGGGAUGCGUGACAUUAGGUAGAUGGCGGGGUAACGGCCCACCAUGCCUACGAUGUCUAGGGGUUCUGAGAGGAAGGUCCCCCACACUGGAACUGAGACACGGUCCAGACUCCUACGGGAGGCAGCAGUGAGGAAUAUUGGUCAAUGGUCGGAAGACUGAACCAGCCAAGUAGCGUGAAGGAUGAAGGUUCUAUGGAUUGUAAACUUCUUUUAUAUAGGAAUAAAACCUCCCACGUGUGGGAGCUUGUAUGUACUAUAUGAAUAAGCAUCGGCUAACUCCGUGCCAGCAGCCGCGGUAAUACGGAGGAUGCGAGCGUUAUCCGGAUUUAUUGGGUUUAAAGGGAGCGUAGACGGGAUGUUAAGUCAGUUGUGAAAGGCUGCGGCUCAACCGCAGCACUGCAGUUGAUACUGGCGUCCUUGAGUGCGGUUGAGGUGUGUGGAAUUCGUGGUGUAGCGGUGAAAUGCUUAGAUAUCACGAAGAACUCCGAUUG
rnacentral:rRNA from 1 species